GCCCGUCCAUACUUUGGCUAAAUGUGGAUUGUGAACCCCUUGUGCCUCCCUUAAUCUCCCCUUGUCUGUGUGGCAUUCUGCUCUAACUACUACUGUUCCACACUUUCUCCUCCUUAAAUCUGGAAAAUCUCCAUGCUUUGAAAAGACAAAUAGGAAGAGAAUGCUGUAUGGAUGUGGGGAAAUUAAAGAAGGCACAAGGGGUUCACAACUCACAUUUAGCCAAGGUAUGGACAGGC